rnacentral:lncRNA from 1 species
UUUUGCCCCGAUUUGAACCGCGCGAUCGCGAUCAAACAGCUCUGGUCGCUGGGCAGAGUUAGGUAGUCUUAUGUGGGAUGUGUAAACUAGUUGGGAUGAGAAGAGAGAGAGGUGGCAGCCCAUGACACAAGUUUGUAAAAUCAAAAAAACGUCCCACGAAUAAACCGAUGACGGUGUCGCUACGGUUGACCGUUCGGGUAUCAAACGGACUCCGAUUGCGACGAAAUUUGGCAGGAGGCCUAUCUACAAUAAAAUAAGACCGCACUUCAACUUUCGACCCGAUCCGA